CUGCCACAGCCCUGACGGUGGCGCACUUGGGAAAACACCGAGAUUAUAACAAAGAAACCCAUCCGAAUCCACCUGGUGCCAGCCGACCCGACGCCCGCCACGAUCGCUUCAUUUCUUACGUUAGUCCCCGGUUCGGCCCAAUGGAAAGAGAAACGACGCGGUUCUGUGGUGCUGGAUCGCAACGAAUCCCACAGCGGCAAAUUGCUCCAACAGAUGGAGUAAAGGAAGCCACAACAGACUGCGCGGAGCUGGACAGGACAUUCAUACUGCCUCAGAAUGUAAGGAAGCUGUGAAAAAGGCGUCCGUCCGGGUCACAGCGAUCUGCAUGGCGGGUUUCAAAAAGGCGAGGAGGGAGGAACUCCCUCGACGAAUGUGAGGUCGAGGUCAGUCCCGCCCUCUGCGACACACAGGACAUUAUUCCCAGCAUAUCAGAACGUCAAGCUGUCACGGCCACAGAAAAUGGAGGUGAGGGGGAACUCCACGGCCGAGGAGGAGAGCGCUCCCCAAUAAUUGAAGUAUCGCCCCGCGGCCGUGAAACACAGAUUACCUUUUGUGUCCCGCGAAGCGUUUGACGGAAGCCGCCUACAAAUCUACCUUCUUUAUCGUGCUGUGGGUUUGUUCAAAGCAC
ensembl:lncRNA